UACGAAGGGAGCUAGCGUUGUUCGGAAUCACUGGGCGUAAAGCGCACGUAGGCGGAUUUGUCAGUCAGGGGUGAAAUCCCGGGGCUCAACCUCGGAACUGCCUUUGAUACAGCAAGUCUUGAGUUCGAGAGAGGUGGGUGGAAUUCCUAGUGUAGAGGUGAAAUUCGUAGAUAUUAGGAAGAACACCGGUGGCGAAGGCGGCCCACUGGCUCGAUACUGACGCUGAGGUGCGAAAGCGUGGGAAGCAAACAGG
rnacentral:rRNA from 1 species